rnacentral:rRNA from 1 species
GGCUGUCGUCAGCUCGUGUCGUGAGAUGUUGGGUUAAGUCCCGCAACGAGCGCAACCCACGUCUUUAGUUGCCAGCAUUUAGUUGGGCACUCUAGAGAGACCGCCGGUGAUAAACCGGAGGAAGGUGUGGAUGACGUCAAGUCAUCAUGCCCCUUACAUCCUGGGCUACACACGUACUACAAUGCUACGGACAAAGGGCAGCAAACUCGCGAGAGCUAGCAAAUCCCAUAAACCGUGGCUCAGUUCAGAUCGUAGGCUGCAACUCGCCUACGUGAAGGAGGAAUCGCUAGUAAUCGCAGGUCUGCAUACUGCGGUGAAUACGUUCCCGGGCCUUGUACACACCGCCCGUCACACCAUGGAAGUUGGCCACGCCCGAAGUCGUUACUCCAACCCUUGUGGAGGAGGAUGCCGAAGGUGGGGCUGAUGACUGGGGUGAAGUCGUAACAAGGUAGCCGUACCGGAAGGUGCGGCUGGAUCACCUCCUAA